GAGUAAAGAUUUCGGUCGCUUUGGGAGGAGCUCGCUUACUAUCAGCUUGUUGGUAGGGUAAUGGCCUACCAAGGCUAUGACGGUUAGGGGGUGUGAGAGCAUGACCCCCAGCAUUGGCACUGAAACACUGGCCAAACACCUACGGGUGGCUGCAGUCGAGAAUCUUCCACAAUGGGGGAAACCCUGAUGGAGCGAUGCUGCGUGCGGGAUGAAGGCCUUCGGGUUGUAAACCGCUUUUGUAGGGGACGAAAUUUUUGACGGUACCCUUUCGAAUAAGAGGUUGCUAACUCUGUGCCAGCAGCAGCGGUAAUACAGAGACCUCAAGCGUUAUCCGGAUUUACUGGGCGUAAAGCGUCUGUAGGGGUUUAUUAAGUUCCAAGUAAAUUUCAGGCUCAACUUUGAAUUCGCUUGGAAACUAUAAACUGGAGUCUAGCAAGGUGCAUGGACUUGGUGGGUGUAGAGUGAAUUCCGUGAUAUCACAAGGACACCAAAGGCGAAGCAUUGCACUGGGCUAGCACUGACCUGAGAGGACGAAAGCGUGGGGGAGCAAACGGAUAGAUACCCGUGUAGUCCACGCCUAAACGAUGAAUGCUAAAUGUUCGGGGAUUCGACCCCUGGGUGUUACAGCUAACGCGUUAAGCAUUCCGCCUGGGAAGUACGGCCGCAAGGCUAAAACUCAAAGGAAUAGACGGGGAUCCGCACAAGCGGUGGAGCGUCUGGUUUAAUUCGACAGUAAGCGUGGUACCUCACCAGGGUUUGACAUCCCUUGACCGCCUUGGAAACAAGGUUUCCUUCGGGCAAGGUGACAGGUGCUGCAUGGUCGUCGUCAGUUCGUGCCGUGAGGUGUUCCGUUAAGUCGGGAAACGAACGAAACCCCUAUUGCAUGUUACAAUUUCUCAUGCAAGACUGCCCGGAUAUACUGGGAGGAAGGUGGGGAUGACGUCAGAUCUGCAUGGUCCUUAUACCCUGGGCGACACAGGCGCUACAAUGGCAGAGACAAAGGGUUGCAAAACCGCAAGGUGAAGCUAAUCCCAAAAACUUUGUCUAAGUUCGGAUUGAAGGCUGCAAUUCGCCUUCAUGAAGCUGGAAUCGCUAGUAAUCGUGAAUCAGCCACGUCACGGUGAAUAUGUUCCCGGAUCUUGUACUCACCGCCCGUCACACCAAGAGAGUUGGUAGCUCCCGA
rnacentral:rRNA from 1 species